CAGCAGCCGCGGUAAUACGAAGGGGGCUAGCGUUGCUCGGAAUGACUGGGCGUAAAGGGCGCGUAGGCGGCGAUCAAAGUCAGGCGUGAAAUUCCUGGGCUCAACCUGGGGGCUGCGCUUGAUACUUGGUUGCUUGAGUGGGGAAGAGGGUCGUGGAAUUCCCAGUGUAGAGGUGAAAUUCGUAGAUAUUGGGAAGAACACCGGUGGCGAAGGCGGCGACCUGGUCCUUGACUGACGCUGAGGCGCGAAAGCGUGGGGAGCAAACAGGACUAGAUACCCCCGUAGUCCCUGUCUCUUAUAC
rnacentral:rRNA from 1 species